GACGAACGCUGGCGGCGUGCCUAAUACAUGCAAGUCGAGCGAAGUUUUUCUGGUGCUUGCACUAGAAAAACUUAGCGGCGAACGGGUGAGUAACACGUAAAGAACCUGCCUCAUAGACUGGGACAACUAUUGGAAACGAUAGCUAAUACCGGAUAACAGUAUUUCUCGCAUGAGAGAUAUUUAAAAGUUGGUUAUGCUAACACUAUGAGAUGGCUUUGCGGUGCAUUAGCUAGUUGGUGGGGUAAAGGCCCACCAAGGCGACGAUGCAUAGCCGACCCGAGAGGGUGAUCGGCCACACUGGGACUGAGACACGGCCCAGACUCCUACGGGAGGCAGCAGUAGGGAAUCUUCCGCAAUGGGCGAAAGCCUGACGGAGCAACGCCGCGUGAGUGAAGAAGGAUUUCGGUUCGUAAAGCUCUGUUGUUAGGGAAGAAUGGAUAUGUAGUAACUAUACAUGUAAGAGACGGUACCCAACCAGAAAGCCACGGCUAACUACGUG
rnacentral:rRNA from 1 species